UACGGAGGGUGCAAGCGUUAUCCGGAUUUAUUGGGUUUAAAGGGUACGUAGGCGGGCUUGUAAGUCAGUGGUGAAAGCCUGCAGCUUAACUGUAGAAUGGCCAUUGAAACUGCAAGUCUUGAGUUCGGUUGAUGUGGGCGGAAUACGUCAUGUAGCGGUGAAAUGCAUAGAUAUGACGUGGAACACCGAUAGCGAAAGCAGCUCACAAAGUCGACACUGACGCUGAGGUACGAAAGCGUAGGUAGCAAACAGG
rnacentral:misc_RNA from 1 species